rnacentral:rRNA from 1 species
CACGGGUGAGUAACACGUAUCCAACCUGCCGUCUACUCUUGGCCAGCCUUCUGAAAGGAAGAUUAAUACAAGAUGGCAUCAUGAGUCCGCAUGUUCACAUGAUUAAAGGUUUAUCCGGUAGACGAUGGGGAUGCGUUCCAUUAGAUAGUAGGCGGGGUAACGGCCCACCUAGUCUUCGAUGGAUAGGGGUUCUGAGAGGAAGGUCCCCCACAUUGGAACUGAGACACGGUCCAA